ACAAUUGUUGCUGCAGUGUUUGCUGAUCCACUUGUAGAUGCUGUUGAAAAUUUCUCAACUGCUUCAAGCAUUCCUACUUUCUUUGUUUCCUUUGUCAUCUUGCCUUUUGCUAGCUCCAGUGAGGUAGUUUCAGACCUAAUCUUUGCCAGCAGGAAGAAUUCAAAAUCUGCUUCCUUAGCAUAUUCUGAGAUUUAUGGGUCAGUGACCAUGAGCAACAUUCUUUCUCUAUCAGUAUUCUUAGGUCUUGUUUACUUUCGUGGGUUGACAUGGAAUUUCUCAUCUGAAGUUCUGGUAAUUCUGAUUGUUUGUGUUGUGAUGGGGCUAAUUGCCAGUUUCCGCACCACUUUCCCUCUUUGGAUGUGUCUGGCGGCCUAUGCACUUUACCCUUUCUCCCUGUUGCUUGCUUAUGUCCUUGACUAUGUUCUUGGUUGGGCUUAAACUCACAGUGCUUUACAAAGCAG
rnacentral:misc_RNA from 1 species